rnacentral:rRNA from 1 species
AAUCUUCCCUUUAGAGUGGUAUAACCUUUGGAAACGAUGGUUAAUCCCGCAUACGAGAGUAAUCUUGAAAGAUACAGCAAUGUGUCGCUAAAGGAUGAGCUUGCGUCUGAUUAGCUAGUUGGUGAGGUAAUGGCUCACCAAGGCGAUGAUCAGUAGCUGGUUUGAGAGAACGACUAGCCACACUGGGACUGAGACACGGCCCAGACUCCUACGGGAGGCAGCAGUGGGGAAUUUUUCGCAAUGGGCGCAAGCCUGACGGAGCAAUACUGCGUGGAG